AUUGAAACGCUGGCGGCAGGCUUAACACAUGCAAGUCGAACGAUGAAGAUAUAGCUUGCUAUAUCGGAUUAGUGGCGGACGGGUGAGUAACACUUAGGAAUCUACCUUUUAGCGGGGGAUAGCUCGGGGAAACUCGAAUUAAUACCGCAUAAUUUCUACGGAAUAAAGAGGGCUUUUAGCUCUCACUAGAAGAUGAGCCUAAGUAAGAUUAGCUAGUUGGUGGGGUAAAAGCCUACCAAGGCGACGAUCUUUAGCUGGUCUGAGAGGAUGAUCAGCCACACUGGGACUGAGACACGGCCCAGACUCCUACGGGAGGCAGCAGUGGGGAAUAUUGGACAAUGGGGGCAACCCUGAUCCAGCCAUGCCGCGUGUGUGAAGAAGGCCUUUUGGUUGUAAAGCACUUUAAGCAGUGAAGAAGACCUAUUGGUUAAUACCCAAUAGCGAUGACAUUAACUGCAGAAUAAGCACCGGCUAACUCUGUGCCAGCAGCCGCGGUAAUACAGAGGGUGCAAGCGUUAAUCGGAAUUACUGGGCGUAAAGCGAGCGUAGGUGGUUAAAUAAGUCAGAUGUGAAAGCCCUGGGCUCAACCUAGGAACGGCAUCUGAAACUAUUUAACUAGAGUAGGUGAGAGGGAAGUAGAAUUUCAGGUGUAGCGGUGAAAUGCGUAGAGAUCUGAAGGAAUACCGAUGGCGAAGGCAGCUUCCUGGCAUCAUACUGACACUGAGGCUCGAAAGCGUGGGUAGCAAACAGG
rnacentral:rRNA from 1 species